UACAACCUGGCGGCGUGCUUACACAUGCAAGUCGAGUGCGCGCUUGUAGCAAUACAAGUGGCGCACGGCGCACGGGUGCGUAACACGUGGGUAACCUGCCCUUUGGUGGGGAAUAACCUCGCGAAAGCGAGGCUAAUUCCGCAUAAGAUCCGCAAGGAUGAAAGCCGAAAGGCGCCGAAGGAGGGGCCCGCGCACGAUUAGUUAGUUGGUAGGGUAACGGCCUACCAAGACUAUGAUCGUUAGCUGGUCUGAGAGGAUGGCCAGCCACACUGGAACUGAGACACGGUCCAGACUCCUACGGGAGGCAGCAGUGGGGAAUCUUGCGCAAUGGGCGAAAGCCUGACGCAGCGACGCCGCGUGGGGGAUGAAGCUUCUCGGAGUGUAAACCCCUUUCGACUGGGACGAAUACCUCGCAAGAGGGGUGACGGUACCAGUAGAAGAAGCCCCGGCUAACUACGUGCCAGCAGCCGCGGUAAGACGUAGGGGGCCAGCGUUGUUCGGAAUUACUGGGUGUAAAGGGUCAGUAGGCGGUGUACAAGUCGGGAGUGAAAUCUAUGGGCUUAACCCAUAGCUG
rnacentral:rRNA from 1 species